CUUCAUGCUCCAGUGGGAUUUAACAUCAAACAAUGGCAGAGCAUGAAGAGAGGAAAUAAUGCUGCCUUCUUCCAGGCUGAACAAACAGUUCUGUCUCUGCUCUGCAGCUGAAGAGGACCACUAAGAUUUGCUUUAAUUAAGCUCUGUCACAAGAGGGCUACUAGGAGCCUUUAUUCUACAGCAAAGAGCACGAGUGAGGGAAGAGGCAACUGUAAAACACGAACAACCUGCUUUGCACUCAGAAAGAAAGGGGGAAGAAAGUAGAAGAUUGCAGUCUGGUGUUCUAGUGAAAGGCUUCCAAAGGAGCUUCUUGAGAAUCUGACUGCAGCUCAUAAUUGCAAGUCCUUAGUGGGAGUACAUAAAAGUAAGUAGUGCUUGUUGGCAGCCUCCAUUCCUUUCAAAUGACAACUCUGGAAUACAAGUCCCUGUUUGUGUGAUAUGUGACUUUUACCUCUUUGAAUCUUUGAAACUCAGGUGUUUUUUCACUUCUAAACUCUGUUGCUACCUCCCCAGUCCCCCCCUUUAAAAAAAAAGAUUUAAAUGCUGUUUUGCAUUCAUAGCAUCUUUCUAAAUAUCCCAAAGUAUCCAACCAGUAUCCAAAAAAAAACAAAAAAAAAAACAAAAAAAGGACUCCCAACAUAGGAAGAGACCUUGGAAAUGCAGCACCAAGCCCUGUUGCAGCACAGGUUGAAAUGUUUGAUUGUAAAGUAUCCAAUUAAGCUCUAUAGAAUCAUCCUCCACUUUAGUAAUAAACAGAAAAUAACAAGACUGAUACAACUUUCAUGAUUAUGUAAGAGUUGUCAUGCAGUCUGAAGACUGUCAUUUGUGGUUCCAUCUAUCAAAGAUGAUCUAUAUUACAUGUUUGAAGUUAGGCAAGAACAAGACCAUCUAAAGCAUAUAGAUAUCAGACCACUUUCCUGAGGUCAUAUGAGAGAUCACUGACAAACUUGAAUCUCCUUUAAUUCUCAUCAAAUCUAAGAGCAAAAAUUUGGUAAGAAUUCAACUCCACAUUCUAAUCUUUAUGAUUUGUUCCAGACAAAUUUUAGUCCAAAAAAAGAACUGAAAAUGUUUAAAGUGUAGCCUGUGGAUAAUAGCAAUUUAUCUUACCUCCACAGUUAUAGAGAAUUUUCUUUAGAUUUAGAUUGAUAUGGAAGUUGUUAACUGUUAAAUAUAAAUUCAUAUAUCAGGUUUACUAUAGAAUGUGAAGUGUAUUCUGAGUCCCUAUAUAUUGUUUGAUCACUUCUGAGGGCUUCUAGUUUACUGUUCCAAACUAGCAGAAAAAUCAUGUAAAUAUACUUACACAGCCUUAAUAUUCAUCCUUGCUGAAAGCUGCUCAGAAUACAAUGAUGCCUCUCUAAUCAGAAAAAUCAGAGGGUAAGAAACAGUGAAGAGCAACAUUAUCAAAACCCUGCAUAGUACCUUGCAUCUCAUGCUCUUCUGAAAUCAUCUGCCUGUCUUGUUCCCCUACUCCUUGGGGGAUUUAAAAAAAAAACAAAACACCAGAAGUUCUGAAACCCCACUCCAAUAGAAAAAUUGACUACCUACCCUGAAGCCUGAAAGGCAAUAGUUGAAGAGUAUUACAGUACCUUAGUAGAUGCAGUUUUCUGACUGAUAACUCAAAAAGAGGUAUCCAUCAUCCAGACAAAGUGCUUUUACCUUAACAUGAUUUGGUACUUAAUUGGGUAAGGCUCCCUGUGUUAUUUGCCACAUAGUAGACUUCAGGAAGGAUGAAUGCCCAAUUGAUAAUCUUUGGCACAUGUCUAUAAAUGAACUCUGACAGACCUAUCUUAAAUGUACCAUAUGGAGUUUGCAGAUCAUCAAUUGAAAUAAUGGAGUUCAUAUAGUAAGCUAACUUAAUACCUGAAUUACUAGAAGAGAUAUUUGUUUUUAUUAGAUAACAGCUGUUGCAUUGAAGUAAGAAUAGUAAGAAAAGUAACCCAUUAGAUUUCUAUGCAAAGGCCACAGAGUAAAUCAGCAAGUAAAGCAUGAUUCUGUUCUCCAGCAAUGAGGAGAAUGAACUAGGCAUCCUUGGUUCAGGGCUUCAUUUUCAACCCUGUUCUUGUAUUUAAGACAAUGCUCUAAUGUUCAGCGUUAAAGUUUCAGAAAAGAAUGUGGAAAAUACCUUAGGCCUGGAACUUUAGCAUCUCUUAGAAUGAAAAGCCUAGAUUUCUGGAAACUCAUUUUCUGAAAGGGUAUGCCAAUACAGCUGGAGUACACAGUUUAUAAGCUCACAGUUAUAUACAGAACUAAAGUGGUAUUAAGUUCUCAUUAGUCUCACUCCUUACAAAAAAAAAAAAAAAAAAAAAAAAAGACAAAA